rnacentral:rRNA from 1 species
GUGAGGAAUUUUCCGCAAUGGGCGAAAGCCUGACGGAGCAAUGCCGCGUGAAGGAUGAAGGCCUAUGGGUUGUAAACUUCUUUUCUCAGAAAAGAAUUAUGACGGUAUCUGAGGAAUAAGCAUCGGCUAACUCUGUGCCAGCAGCCGCGGUAAGACAGAGGAUGCAAGCGUUAUCCGGAAUGAUUGGGCGUAAAGCGUCUGUAGGUUGUUUAAAAAGUAUUCUGUCAAAGAUUAGGGCUUAACCCUAGAUAGGCAGAAUAAACUUUUAAGCUAGAGUUUGGUAGAGGCAGAGGGAAUUCCCGGUGGAGCGGUGAAAUGCGUAGAUAUCGGGAGGAACACCAAAGGCGAAGGCACUCUGCUGGGCCAAUACUAACACUGAGAGACGAAAGCGAGGGGAGCAAAUGGGAUUAGAAACCCGGGUGUCC